rnacentral:lncRNA from 1 species
UGAGGUGUUACUGACGCAUUGUUGGGUGCAUUGACCUGAGUUGCUGUUACUGAGACAUAUAUUAUCGGGUGUAUUGGCCUGAGGUGGUGUUACUGACAUAUUAUCGGGUGUAUUGACCUGAAGUGUUACUGAGACAUUGUUGGGUGUAACAGCCUGAGUUGUUACUGAUGCAGUAUUGGUGUUGAAAAGUAAUUUGUAAUUUUCUAAGUUAAUGUCUGUUGAGUUUUUUCAUAGCAGUGUUUCAUAUUCUAAAAAACCUUAUAAGUUCUAUAGAUUGUUCUAGAGCUUGUAGACAG